CAGUCGCCGCGGGAAUACAGAGGGUGCAAGCGUUAAUCGGAAUUACUGGGCGUAAAGCGUGCGUAGGCGGCUUUUUAAGUCGGAUGUGAAAUCCCUGAGCUUAACUUAGGAAUUGCAUUCGAUACUGGGAAGCUAGAGUAUGGGAGAGGAUGGUAGAAUUCCAGGUGUAGCGGUGAAAUGCGUAGAGAUCUGGAGGAAUACCGAUGGCGAAGGCAGCCAUCUGGCCUAAUACUGACGCUGAGGUACGAAAGCAUGGGGAGCAAACAGGAUUAGAUACCCCCGUAGUCCCUGUCUCUUAUAC
rnacentral:rRNA from 1 species